CAUAAAUGCCUGGGCAGUCUGUAGGUUACAGUUCCUCAGAAGCAGGCUCCUGGGUGCUUUGACAACCGUCCUGAAGAUUAUGUAGGAGACAAUGUAUGAAAGAUCUAUCUAUCGAGUUCAUCUAGGACAAAAGCCAAGAGCUCCCUAAUGUAACUACAUUAGUGUUUAUUUCUAGGCAAAAAAUAUAUAGAUUUUUAAAAAACUAAAUCUUUAAGGUUACUAAAAGGUAAUAGCUCAGUCCAAAGAAUCCAUUUCAGAAGAUGUCGAUGAACAACUCUUCCAACAUAUUUCUGGAUUCGGUGUCCAGCAGUACCAGUCGCUUUCAAGUUAACAUCGUAAACGAGGGCCAGGAGAGCUGUGCCACAGUAAAUGAUGACAGUGACCCACCCCACUAUGAAGAGACCUCUUUUGGGGAUGAAGCGCAGAACCGACUGAGAAUCAGCUUUAGACCUGGCAAUCAGGAAUGUUAUGACAAUUUCUUACAAAAUGGAGAAACUGCUAAAACAGACUCCAGUUUUCAUGCCUACGACACACACACAAACACAUACUACCUACAAACCUUUGGCCACAAUACCGUGGAUGCAGUGCCCAAGAUUGAGUACUACCGCAACACUGGCAGCGUCAGUGGGCCCAAGGUCAACAGACCCAGCCUGCUGGAGAUCCACGAGCAGCUAGCCAAGAAUGUGACUGUGGCCCCAGGUUCAGCAGACAGGGUUGUUAAUGGUGAUGGGAUGCCCGGAGAGGAGCCAGGCGACAGCAAAGCGGAAGACACAGCUGGUGUCGUGAAGUUUGGCUGGGUGAAAGGUGUGCUGGUCAGAUGCAUGCUGAAUAUCUGGGGAGUCAUGCUCUUCAUCCGCCUGUCCUGGAUUGUAGGAGAAGCUGGAAUUGGUCUUGGAGUUAUCAUAAUUCUUCUUUCCACCAUGGUAACUUCUAUUACUGGGUUGUCAACUUCUGCAAUAGCAACUAACGGGUUUGUUCGUGGAGGUCUUGGCGUCAUCAUCAUUGGCCUGAGCGUAGUCGUGACGACACUCACAGGUAUUUCCAUGUCUGCUAUUUGCACGAAUGGAGUAGUAAGAGGAGGUGGAGCCUACUAUCUCAUUUCCAGGAGCUUAGGGCCCGAGUUUGGCGGAUCAAUAGGCUUGAUCUUUGCCUUCGCCAACGCAGUAGCCGUUGCUAUGUAUGUGGUGGGAUUCGCUGAGACUGUAGUGGAUCUUCUUAAGGAGAACGAUUCCAUGAUGGUGGACCCGACCAACGACAUCCGGAUCAUAGGUUCUAUCACCGUGGUGAUCCUGCUAGGAAUUUCCGUCGCCGGCAUGGAAUGGGAAGCAAAGGCUCAAGUGAUUCUUCUGGUCAUUCUGCUGAUUGCUAUUGCCAACUUCUUCAUUGGAACUGUCAUCCCAUCCAACAAUGAGAAGAAGUCCAGAGGCUUCUUCAAUUACCAAGCUUCCAUAUUUGCGGAGAACUUUGGACCAAGCUUCACGAAGGGGGAAGGGUUCUUCUCUGUCUUCGCCAUUUUCUUCCCAGCAGCCACUGGAAUCCUCGCCGGUGCCAACAUCUCGGGAGACUUGGAGGACCCCCAAGACGCCAUCCCCAGAGGGACCAUGCUCGCUAUUUUCAUCACCACUGUGGCCUACCUGGGGGUUGCUAUCUGCGUGGCGGCCUGUGUGGUCCGAGAUGCCACGGGAAGCACGAACGACACCGUCAUUUCCGGCGUGAACUGCAACGGGUCUGCAGCCUGUGGCCUGGGCUACGACUUCUCCAGGUGUCAACACGAGCCCUGUCAGUACGGGCUGAUGAACAACUUCCAGGUCAUGAGCAUGGUGUCAGGGUUCGGCCCCCUCAUCACCGCUGGAAUCUUCUCGGCAACGCUGUCCUCCGCGCUGGCCUCGCUGGUCAGCGCCCCCAAGGUGUUCCAGGCUCUGUGCAAGGACAACAUCUUCAAAGGCCUGCAGUUCUUCGCAAAGGGCUACGGGAAAAACAACGAGCCCCUGCGAGGCUAUCUUCUCACCUUCGUGAUAGCAAUGGCGUUUAUUCUGAUCGCGGAGCUGAACGUCAUCGCGCCCAUCAUCUCGAACUUCUUCUUGGCUUCGUAUGCACUUAUUAAUUUCUCCUGCUUCCAUGCCUCUUACGCCAAGUCUCCAGGGUGGAGGCCUGCCUAUGGGAUCUACAACAUGUGGGUAUCUCUUUUUGGAGCUAUUUUGUGCUGUGCUGUCAUGUUUGUCAUCAACUGGUGGGCGGCUGUCAUCACCUACAUCAUUGAGUUAUUCCUCUAUAUCUACGUGACUUAUAAGAAACCAGAUGUGAACUGGGGCUCAUCCACACAGGCCCUUUCCUAUGUGAGUGCUUUAGACAAUGCUCUGGAGUUGACCACGGUGGAAGACCACGUGAAGAACUUCAGGCCCCAGUGCAUUGUCCUAACCGGGGCACCCAUGACCAGGCCUGCCCUCUUGGACAUAACUCACGCCUUUACCAAGAACAGUGGCCUGUGCAUCUGCUGUGAAGUCUUCGUGGGACCGCGCAAGCUGUGUGUCAAGGAGAUGAACAGUGGCAUGGCUAAAAAGCAGGCCUGGCUUAUAAAGAACAAAAUCAAGGCUUUUUACGCUGCGGUGGCGGCGGACUAUUUCCGGGACGGAGUCCGCAGUCUCCUCCAGGCCUCGGGCUUAGGGAGAAUGAAGCCAAACACGCUGGUGAUUGGAUAUAAAAAAAACUGGAGGAAAGCGCCCUUGACAGAGACUGAGAACUACGUGGGAAUCAUCCAUGAUGCAUUCGACUUUGAGAUCGGCGUGGUCAUAGUCCGAGUCAGCCAAGGGUUUGACAUCUCUCAGGUCCUUCAGGUGCAAGAUGAGCUGGAGAGGCUGGAGCAGGAGCGGCUGGCGCUGGAAGCCACCAUCAAGGACAGCGAGUGCCAGGACGGGGGCGGGGGCAUCCGAGGCUUGUUUAAAAAAGCCGGCAAGUUGAACAUCACCAAGCCACCUCUUAAGAAAGAGAGCAGCAUUAAUACCCUCCAGUCGAGGCACGUGGGGGAGUUCAACCAGAAGCUGGUGGAAGCCAGCACUCAGUUCAAAAACAAACAAGGAAAAGGAACAAUUGAUGUCUGGUGGCUGUUUGAUGAUGGAGGGUUAACACUCCUUAUCCCCUAUAUCUUGACUCUUAGAAAAAAGUGGAAAGAUUGUAAACUACGGAUCUAUGUGGGAGGGAAGAUCAACCGCAUUGAAGAAGAAAAAAUCGCCAUGGCUUCUCUGCUGAGCAAAUUUAGGAUAAAAUUUGCCGACAUCCACAUCAUUGGUGACAUCAACGUGAAGCCCAACAAAGAGAGCCGGAAAAUCUUUGAAGAGAUGAUUGAACCAUACCGGCUCCAUGAAAGCUGCAAAGAUUUAGCAACUGCUGAGAAAUUAAAAAGAGAGACUCCAUGGAAAAUUACAGAUGCAGAGCUGGACGCAGUCAAAGAAAAGAGCUACCGCCAGGUUCGACUGAACGAGCUCUUACAGGAGCACUCGAGAGCCGCCAAUCUCAUCGUCCUGAGUCUUCCUGUGGCGAGAAAAGGGUCCAUAUCAGAUUUGCUCUACAUGGCUUGGCUAGAAAUCCUCACCAAGAACCUCCCUCCUGUCUUGCUGGUUAGAGGAAAUCACAAAAAUGUGCUGACAUUUUACUCCUAAGACACGACUGGGAAGAAUACCUUUUAACUGGAUGGAUGAAUAAUUUUUAAAAAAUCUUCUAGUACUUAAUGUUAUAAAAUCCAAUCUAUGGAUAUGCAAACCUCUGGAGACCUGAGCUUACCAGAUUCUCCAUAAGUUGUGUUUUUUUAUUAGUUAACAGAAACUUUUCCCCCCUCUAUCAACUAAAAGGAACAUUUAAGCUAAGGCUACUACAAAAAAAAAAAAAAAGUCACUUUUGUCAUUGCUGUUGGUAAAUAAGAAAUUUAUCAAAGCCAAGCUGGCAUGUGCAUGUGAAAACCAGCAUGGCGACUGUGAGCAGGCUUUCUCUUUUGUUUCUAAUGGUAUUUGCAGAGGAGCCCUGGCUCAGGCCGUGGCCCUCAGCAGGUCUCAGCAACUCUUCUUGACAGGCUGCUUCUACACCCCUGGGCAGCCAUCAGAGGAAAAGACCAAGCAGGUAGGAUGUGAGACCCAGCCUGCCACCUCCUAGAGGCCUGAGACCAUGAAGAAGAUUUAAAAAUCAAUAGGUGAGAACUUUAAGAAUCACUGGAGCCUACAGCAUGUAUAAAGCAGCUAGCUAAAUAGGGGUAAUAGAUAAUAUACUUCAAGAGAUCAGAGUGAUCGCUGAUUGCACGCAGCUUAAUUUGCCACAGACGGGAGGUUUAUUAGCUGGGUCAGAAGGGAAUGUAUUCUAAUUACAGUCAUGCUUGGGUACUCAAAUGCUUUGAAACGCCUCAAAUUUGGUGCAAGAUGCAUUUGGAUGCAAAAAUUGUAUCCCGGUAUAUUUUCACUUGUUUUGAUGCCUGAUGUCCAAGCUAGAAUCUGUUGAUGUCAGUGGCCUCGAGAUCGCUGCCUUUUCCAAACAAAGCAGUUUGUUUGCUACUUGUUGCUUUUGAUGCUUAGCACAGGGCUCAAGGCCAGUCAGCAAUCCCAUAGGCCAUUUCUGACAUCCACAUAGGAAGUCAGCUCCACGCUGAAUGUUCUGAAAUUUCCCUCACAUAUAACUUUAUAUCUGUUUUUCUAAUUAAGUGGUUAGUAUAGAUGAAAUCUACAUAGAUGGGUAAUUGGAAGCCAAGUAUCACAAAUUCUCAAAGCAUGCCUAAGACACAUAUACCAAAUCAUAUAUUUAGUCUCUUUGUAUCCUGAUUACCUGGGCUUAAAAGAAAAAUGAAAAUGUGGAGAAAUUUGCAAAAUUCAUAGGACCUACAUAUUGAUUGUUUCAUUUUUGUUCGUUUAUCUGUAAUACUUAAUCACAUGGACAAACCAACAAAAAAUUGGUUUUUUGAUAAAUGGCCUGAUUUUUCUUCUGCCAUAUUCUUCUGUUUUGAGAAAACAUCUGGGGAAAAUGAACUUGAAAUAAAAGCCCUGAAAUUGGUUUUCUUUGACCUCA